rnacentral:rRNA from 1 species
CGCGUAGGCGGCCGAUUAAGUCGGGGGUGAAAGCCUGUGGCUCAACCACAGAAUUGCCUUCGAUACUGGUUGGCUUGAGACCGGAAGAGGACAGCGGAACUGCGAGUGUAGAGGUGAAAUUCGUAGAUAUUCGCAAGAACACCAGUGGCGAAGGCGGCUGUCUGGUCCGGUUCUGACGCUGAGGCGCGAAAGCGUGGGGAGCAAACA